GACGAACGCUGGCGGCGUGCCUAAUACAUGCAAGUCGAACGCAGUGGGGACGGGUGAGUAACACGUGGGUAACCUCCCAUCAGAGGGGAUAACACUUGGAAACAGGUGCUAAACCGAUACUGAUGGAUGGACACGCGGUGCAUUAGCCAUUUGGUGAGGUAACGGCUCACCAAGGCCACGAUGCAUAGCCGACCAGAGAGGGUGAUCAGCCACACUGUGACUGAGACAAGGCCCAGACUCCUACGGGAGGCAGCAGUGGGGAAUAUUGCACAAUGGGCGCAAGCCUGAGGCAGCCAUGCCGCGUGUAUGAAGAAGGCAUUCGGGUUGUAAAGUACGUUCAGCGGGGAGGCGUUACUCGCAGAAGAAGCACCGGCUAACUCCGUGCCAGCAGCCGCGGUAAUUC
rnacentral:rRNA from 1 species